CCUACGGGAGGCAGCAGUGGGGAAUUUUGGACAAUGGGCGCAAGCCUGAUCCAGCAAUGCCGCGUGGGUGAAGAAGGCCUUCGGGUGUAAAGCACUUUUUCCGGAAAGAAAUCCAGGGGGCUAAUACAGUGGUGGAUGACGGUACCGGAAGAAUAAGCACCGGCUAUUUUU
rnacentral:rRNA from 1 species